rnacentral:rRNA from 1 species
UUUGAUCAUGGCUCAGGAUGAACGCUGGCGGCGUGCUUAACACAUGCAAGUCGAACGAUGAUCUCCAGCUUGCUGGGGGGAUUAGUGGCGAACGGGUGAGUAACACGUGAGUAACCUGCCCUUAACUCUGGGAUAAGCCUGGGAAACUGGGUCUAAUACCGGAUAUGACUCCUCAUCGCAUGGUGGGGGGUGGAAAGCUUUUUGUGGUUUUGGAUGGACUCGCGGCCUAUCAGCUUGUUGGUGAGGUAAUGGCUCACCAAGGCGACGACGGGUAGCCGGCCUGAGAGGGUGACCGGCCACACUGGGACUGAGACACGGCCCAGACUCCUACGGGAGGCAGCAGUGGGGAAUAUUGCACAAUGGGCGCAAGCCUGAUGCAGCGACGCCGCGUGAGGGAUGACGGCCUUCGGGUUGUAAACCUCUUUCAGUAGGGAAGAAGCGAAAGUGACGGUACCUGCAGAAGAAGCGCCGGCUAACUACGUGCCAGCAGCCGCGG